rnacentral:rRNA from 1 species
GACGAACGCUGGCGGCGUGCUUAACACAUGCAAGUCGAACGGAAAGGCCCUGCUUUUGUGGGGUGCUCGAGUGGCGAACGGGUGAGUAACACGUGAGUAACCUGCCCUUGACUUUGGGAUAACUUCAGGAAACUGGGGCUAAUACCGGAUAGGAGCUCCUGCUGCAUGGUGGGGGUUGGAAAGUUUCGGCGGUUGGGGAUGGACUCGCGGCUUAUCAGCUUGUUGGUGGGGUAGUGGCUUACCAAGGCUUUGACGGGUAGCCGGCCUGAGAGGGUGACCGGCCACAUUGGGACUGAGAUACGGCCCAGACUCCUACGGGAGGCAGCAGUGGGGAAUAUUGCACAAUGGGCGGAAGCCUGAUGCAACAACGCCGCGUGCGGGAUGACGGCCUUCGGGUUGUAAACCGCUUUCGCCUGUGACGAAGCGUGAGUGACGGUAAUGGGUAAAGAAGCACCGGCUAACUACGUGCCAGCAGCCGCGGUGAUACGUAGGGUGCGAGCGUUGUCCGGAUUUAUUGGGCGUAAAGGGCUCGUAGGUGGUUGAUCGCGUCGGAAGUGUAAUCUUGGGGCUUAACCCUGAGCGUGCUUUCGAUACGGGUUGACUUGAGGAAGGUAGGGGAGAAUGGAAUUCCUGGUGGAGCGGUGGAAUGCGCAGAUAUCAGGAGGAACACCAGUGGCGAAGGCGGUUCUCUGGGCCUUUCCUGACGCUGAGGAGCGAAAGCGUGGGGAGCGAACAGGCUUAGAUACCCUGGUAGUCCACGCUGUAAACGGUGGGUACUAGGUGUGGGGCCCAUUCCACGGGUUCCGUGCCGUAGCUAACGCUUUAAGUACCCCGCCUGGGGAGUACGGCCGCAAGGCUAAAACUCAAAGGAAUUGACGGGGCUCCGCACAAGCGGCGGAGCAUGCGGAUUAAUUCGAUGCAACGCGUAGAACCUUACCUGGGUUUGACAUGGAUCGGGAGUGCUCAGAGAUGGGUGUGCCUCUUUUGGGGUCGGUUCACAGGUGGUGCAUGGCUGUCGUCAGCUCGUGUCGUGAGAUGUUGGGUUAAGUCCCGCAACGAGCGCAACCCUUGUUCACUGUUGCCAGCACGUUAUGGUGGGGACUCAGUGGAGACCGCCGGGGUCAACUCGGAGGAAGGUGGGGAUGACGUCAAGUCAUCAUGCCCCUUAUGUCCAGGGCUUCACGCAUGCUACAAUGGCUGGUACAGAGAGUGGCGAGCCUGUGAGGGUGAGCGAAUCUCGGAAAGCCGGUCUCAGUUCGGAUUGGGGUCUGCAACUCGACCUCAUGGAGUCGGAGUCGCUAGUAAUCGCAGAUCAGCAACGCUGCGGUGAAUACGUUCCCGGG